rnacentral:rRNA from 1 species
CGCCUCUUGAAAAUUUAUAAGAGGUCCAGCCUGCCCAGUGACUUUGUUUAACGGCCGCGGUAUCCUAACCGUGCGAAGGUAGCGUAAUCACUUGUUCUUUAAAUAAGGACUAGUAUGAAUGGCAUCACGAGGGUUAUACUGUCUCCCCCUUUUAAUCAGUGAAACUAAUCUCCCCGUGAAGAAACGAGGAUAUUUAUAUAAGACGAGAAGACCCUAUGGAGCUUUAAACUAACUUUCAAUAAUUAUAUUUUACACGUAAGCCCCUGCUAUCAAUAAAUAACCUAGUUUUAUGAAAAUUAGUUUUAGGUUGGGGUGACCACGGAGCAAAAAAUAACCUCCGAGCUGUAUGGAAUUAAUUCCUGAGCAGUAAACCACGACUUUAUGCACCAAUAUAUUGACAUCCAUUGACCCAAUAAUUUGAUCAACGAACCAAGUUACCCUAGGGAUAACAGCGCAAUCCGUUUCAAGAGCCCAUAUCGACAAACGGGUUUACGACCUCGAUGUUGGAUCAGGGUAUCCCAGUGGUGCAGCCGCUACUAAAGGUUCGUUUGUUCAACGAUUAAAACCCU